rnacentral:rRNA from 1 species
UACGUAGGUGGCAAGCGUUGUUCGGAUUUAUUGGGCGUAAAGGGUGCGUAGGCGGUGAUGCAAGUCGGAUGUGAAAUACCGGAGCCUAACUCCGGAACGGCAUUCGAAACUGCAUUGCUAGAGAACUGGAGAGGUGACUGGAAUUCACGGUGUAGCAGUGAAAUGUGUAGAGAUCGGGAGGAACACCGGUGGCGAAGGCGGGUCUCUGGGCAAUUCCUGACGCUGAGGCGCGAAAGCGUGGGGAGCAAACGGG